UACGAGGGGAGCAAGCGUUGUUCGGAUUUACUGGGCGUAAAGGGCGCGUAGGCGGCGUGACAAGUCACUUGUGAAAUCUCCGGGCUUAACUCGGAACGGUCAAGUGAUACUGUCGUGCUAGAGUACAGAAGGGGCAACUGGAGUUCUCGGUGUAGCGGUGAAAUGCGUAGAUAUCGAGAGGAACACCUGCGGCGAAGGCGGGUUGCUGGGCUGAUACUGACGCUGAGGCGCGAAAGCCAGGGGAGCGAACGGG
rnacentral:rRNA from 1 species